rnacentral:rRNA from 1 species
UGAACGCUGGCGGCAUGCCUUACACAUGCAAGUCGAACGGUAACAGGUCUUCGGAUGCUGGCGAGUGGCGAACGGGUGAGUAAUACAUCGGAACGUGCCCAGACGUGGGGGAUAACGAGGCGAAAGCUUUGCUAAUACCGCAUACGAUCUAAGGAUGAAAGCAGGGGACCGCAAGGCCUUGCGCGUUUGGAGCGGCCGAUGGCAGAUUAGGUAGUUGGUGGGAUAAAAGCUUACCAAGCCGACGAUCUGUAGCCGGUCUGAGAGGACGACCAGCCACACUGGGACUGAGACACGGCCCAGACUCCUACGGGAGGCAGCAGUGGGGAAUUUUGGACAAUGGGCGAAAGCCUGAUCCAGCAAUGCCGCGUGCAGGAUGAAGGCCUUCGGGUUGUAAACUGCUUUUGUACGGAACGAAAAGGCUCUGGCUAAUACCUGGGGCACAUGACGGUACCGUAAGAAUAAGCACCGGCUAACUACGUG